UUUGGUAUAGGUUCAAAUCCUAUUGGACGCA
rnacentral:tRNA from 1 species